UUCCAAUAUGAAGGCGGGCUGGAACCUCUCGGGGGUUACAGCCUUGCUGAAUUAUUCACCCUUGUCUUUUGCGUACUUCUUGUUUCCUUGGUGGGUUCGCCCACCACUAGGACAAACAUAAACCUUUUGUAAUUGCAAUCAGCGUCAGUAACAAAUUAAUAAUUACAACUUUCAACAACGGAUCUCUUGGUUCUGGCAUCGAUGAAGAACGCAGCGAAAUGCGAUAAGUAGUGUGAAUUGCAGAAUUCAGUGANUNAUCGAAUCUUUGAACGCACAUUGCGCCCUUUGGUAUUCCAAAGGGCAUGCCUGUUCGAGCGUCAUUUGUACCCUCAAGCUUUGCUUGGUGUUGGGCGUCUUGUCUCUAGCUUUGCUGGAGACUCGCCUUAAAGUAAUUGGCAGCCGGCCUACUGGUUUCGGAGCGCAGCACAAGUCGCACUCUCUAUCAGCAAAGGUCUAGCAUCCAUUAAGCCUUUUUUCAACUUUUGACCUCGGAUCAGGUAGGGAUACCCGCUGAACUUAAGCAUAUCAAUAAGCGGAGGAA
rnacentral:rRNA from 1 species